UACGUAGGUGACCAGCGUUGUCCGGAUUUACUGGGCGUAAAGCGCACGUAGGCGGCGAUUCAAGUCAGAGGUGAAAGCCCGGGGCUCAACCCCGGAACUGCCUUUGAAACUAGAUUGCUAGAAUCCUGGAGAGGUGAGUGGAAUUCCGAGUGUAGAGGUGAAAUUCGUAGAUAUUCGGAAGAACACCAGUGGCGAAGGCGACUCACUGGACAGGUAUUGACGCUGAGGUGCGAAAGCGUGGGGAGCAAACAGG
rnacentral:rRNA from 1 species